GAUGAACGCUGGCGGCGUGCUUAACACAUGCAAGUCGAACGGAAAGGCCUCUGCUUGCAGGGGUACUCGAGUGGCGAACGGGUGAGUAACACGUGGGUGAUCUGCCCUGCACUUCGGGAUAAGCCUGGGAAACUGGGUCUAAUACCGGAUAGGACAAUGGUUUGGAUGCUGUUGUGGAAAGUUUUUCGGUGUGGGAUGAGCUCGCGGCCUAUCAGCUUGUUGGUGGGGUAAUGGCCUACCAAGGCGUCGACGGGUAGCCGGCCUGAGGGGGUGUACGGCCACAGUGGGACUGAGAUACGGCCCAGACUCCUACGGGAGGCAGCAGUGGGGAAUAUUGCACAAUGGGCGCAAGCCUGAUGCAGCGACGCCGCGUGGGGGAUGACGGCCUUCGGGUUGUAAACUCCUUUCGCUAGGGACGAAGCGUUUUUGUGACGGUACCUGGAGAAGAAGCACCGGCUAACUACGUG
rnacentral:rRNA from 1 species